rnacentral:rRNA from 1 species
UACGAAGGGGGCUAGCGUUGUUCGGAUUUACUGGGCGUAAAGGGCGCGUAGGCGGCUUGUCAAGUCACUUGUGAAAUCUCUGGGCUUAACCCAGAACGGCCAAGUGAAACUGACAUGCUAGAGUGCAGAAGGGGCAAUCGGAAUUCUUGGUGUAGCGGUGAAAUGCGUAGAUAUCAAGAGGAACACCUGAGGUGAAGACGGGUUGCUGGGCUGACACUGACGCUGAUGCGCGAAAGCCAGGGGAGCAAACGGG